ACUCCUACGGGAGGCAGCAGUGGGGAAUAUUGCACAAUGGGCGCAAGCCUGAUGCAGCCAUGCCGCGUGUGUGAAGAAGGCCUUCGGGUUGUAAAGCACUUUCAGUCGUGAGGAGGUAGUGUAGUUAACACCUGCAUUAUUUGACGUUACCUAACAGAGAAGCACCGGCUAACUCCGUGCCAGCAGCCGCGGUAAUACGGAGGGUGCGAGCGUUAAUCGGAAUUACUGGGCGUAAAGCGCAUGCAGGCGGCCUGUUAAGUCAGAUGUGAAAGCCCGGGGCUUAACCUCGGAAUGCA
rnacentral:rRNA from 1 species